rnacentral:piRNA from 1 species
UACUUGUUAACGACGUGGGUGUUUGUGA